rnacentral:lncRNA from 1 species
CGGCCAUGGGUAUCUAUCCUUUGCGAUCAUCAUUUAGAUUUAGUUCUUAAAGAUAAUCUCUAUCAUUUGCAUGUUGAUGCAUAUGUGAACUUAAUUGAACAAUCAGUGAAUGCCAUUGGAUCUGAAAGAUCCAAAAUUGAGAUAAAAUUUAAAGUAUAUGUGGAACCUAUAGCUAAGUCAUAUUGGAGAAGAAAUGAUUAACAAACUGAAAAAAUAUGAACUUGGGCUCA